CGGCAUUAUAGCAAGUCUGAGAGCAGCUAACAUUUUGAUAUCUUUGAUACCGCUGAUACCGCUAAUACCACUGAUGCUGAUGCAGACGCCGACAACUAGCUGAAACCCUAUAAGAUGGUAAUUCUGCCUGUACCUGCUCAUAGUUGUUCACACGGAAUAAUCAAAAAGAAGCUGUGUGAAGCUGUGUGAAAAGGAGCAAUGGAUGUAAAGAG